rnacentral:rRNA from 1 species
UACGUAGGUGACAAGCGUUGUCCGGAUUUACUGGGCGUAAAGAGCGCGUAGGCGGUCUGAUAAGUCAGGUGUGAAAUCCCCCGGCUCAACCGAGGAACUGCACCUGAUACUGUUGGGCUUGAGUGCAGGAGGGGAGAGCGGAAUUCCUGGUGGAGCGGUGAAAUGCGUAGAUAUCAGGAAGAACACCGAUGGCGAAGGCAGCUCUCUGGGACGGUACUGACGCUGAGACGCGAAAGCGUGGGGAGCGAACAGG